AGAUAGAAGCUUGCUUUUAUCGAAAGUGGCGCACGGGUGCGUAACGCGUAUGCAACCUACCUUCAUCUGGGGGAUAGCCCGGAGAAAUCCGGAUUAAUACCGCAUAAAAUCACAGCACUGCAUAGUGCAAUGAUCAAACAUUUAUGGGAAGAAGAUGGGCAUGCGUGUCAUUAGCUAGUUGGCGGGGUAACGGCCCACCAAGGCGACGAUGACUAGGGGAUCUGAGAGGAUGGCCCCCCACACUGGUACUGAGACACGGACCAGACUCCUACGGGAGGCAGCAGUAAGGAAUAUUGGUCAAUGGAGGCAACUCUGAACCAGCCAUGCCGCGUGCAGGAAGACUGCCCUAUGGGUUGUAAACUGCUUUUAUCCGGGAAUAAACCUUUCUACGUGUAGGAAGCUGAAUGUACCGGAAGAAUAAGGAUCGGCUAACUCCGUGCCAGCAGCCGCGGUAAUACGGAGGAUCCAAGCGUUAUCCGGAUUUAUUGGGUUUAAAGGGUGCGUAGGCGGCCUGUUAAGUCAGGGGUGAAAGACGGUAGCUCAACUAUCGCAGUGCCCUUGAUACUGAUGGGCUUGAAUGGACUAGAGGUAGGCGGAAUGAGACAAGUAGCGGUGAAAUGCAUAGAUAUGUCUCAGAACACCGAUUGCGAAGGCAGCUUACUAUGGUCUUAUUGACGCUGAGGCACGAAAGCGUGGGGAUCAAACAGGAUUAGAUACCCUGGUAGUCCACGCCCUAAACGAUGAACACUCGCUGUUGGCGAUACACAGUCAGCGGCUAGCG
rnacentral:rRNA from 1 species